rnacentral:rRNA from 1 species
UUUAUGGAGAGUUUGAUCCUGGCUCAGGAUGAACGCUGGCGGCGUGCCUAAUACAUGCAAGUCGAGCGAACGGACGAGAAGCUUGCUUCUCUGAUGUUAGCGGCGGACGGGUGAGUAACACGUGGAUAACCUACCUAUAAGACUGGGAUAACUUCGGGAAACCGGAGCUAAUACCGGAUAAUAUUUUGAACCGCAUGGUUCAAAAGUGAAAGACGGUCUUGCUGUCACUUAUAGAUGGAUCCGCGCUGCAUUAGCUAGUUGGUAAGGUAACGGC